GUGAAUCAUCAAAUUUUUGAACGCAGAUUGCACGCUCUGGUAUUCCGGAGAGUAUGCCUGUUGGAGGGUCAGUUAAAUAAAUAUCGGGGGUUUUGCCACCUUUGGUGGUGACGCUUCGGUAUUGGGUCGUCUAUACCUUUCGGUUAAGUGACUUAAAAUUUUAUGUAUGAUAUCUGAAAGUAUUUCAAUUUAUUUGGUACGUUUUGUAAUAUCGAAUGAUUAUUAAGUGUCAUCCUGCUCAUAGCUCACGUCUUUCA
rnacentral:misc_RNA from 1 species